rnacentral:rRNA from 1 species
GAUGAACGCUGGCGGCGUGCCUAAUACAUGCAAGUAGAACGCUGAAGGAGGAGCUUGCUCUUCUGGAUGAGUUGCGAACGGGUGAGUAACGCGUAGGUAACCUGCCUGGUAGCGGGGGAUAACUAUUGGAAACGAUAGCUAAUACCGCAUGACAACAGUUAUUGCAUGAUAACUGUUUAAAAGGGGCAACUGCUCCACUACCAGAUGGACCUGCGUUGUAUUAGCUAGUUGGUGAGGUAACGGCUCACCAAGGCGACGAUACAUAGCCGACCUGAGAGGGUGAUCGGCCACACUGGGACUGAGACACGGCCCAGACUCCUACGGGAGGCAGCAGUAGGGAAUCUUCGGCAAUGGACGGAAGUCUGACCGAGCAACGCCGCGUGAGUGAAGAAGGUUUUCGGAUCGUAAAGCUCUGUUGUAAGAGAAGAACGAGUGUGAGAGUGGAAAGUUCACACUGUGACGGUAGCUUAACAGAAAGGGACGGCUAACUACGUG